ensembl:lncRNA
GGCCGCCCUCGCAGCACAUGGAGGUUCCCAGGCUAGGGGUCUAACCGGAUCUGUAGCCGCUGGCCUACACCACAGCCACAGCAACGUGGGAUCUGAGCCACGUCUGUGACUUACACCACAGCUCAUGGCAACGAUGGCUCCCUAACCCACUGAGCGAGGCCAGGGAUUGAACCUGAAACCCCAUGGUCCCUAAUUGGGUUCAUUAACCAUUGAGCCAGGAAGGUAACUUCUUAGUUUCAUUUCUGAGAGCUGGACACCUACUGUGAGAUAGAGUGACAAUUUAUCACAUCAUCAGAGAUUCCUGCGUGAACUGCUCUGACUUUGCUGCUCAUACAUUUUAGGUAACGGAAUUCUUCCCUCCUUCCUCCAGGCAGAGAAACGUGGUGCCUACCAUCUAGCUCGAGGCGGGCCUAACGGGCCUUCUCUGAGGCUAAAGUUAACAUCCCCCUCUGGACAGAGCUAUAGGAAGCAUCUGUGCAUCCUACCACAAACUGAGAUGGUCCACUCUUUCCCCAUGUGAAGUACAAAUUCUGUUCGUAUUAAAUUACCUAAUUGUGGAGUUCCCAUCAUGGCUCAGUGGUUAAUGAAUCUGACGAGGAACCAUGAGGUUGCAGGUUCAAUCCCUGGCCUUGCUUAGUGGGUUAAGGAUCCGGUGUUGCCAUGAGCUGAACUGCUUGAGCUGAUAUAUAUUUUUUUAUUUUAUUUUUUUAUAUUUUCUAGGGCCGCACCCUCUGCAUAUGGAGGUUCCCAGGCUAGGGGUCCAAUUGGAGCUGUAGUCUCCGGCCUACACCACAACCACAGCAACGUGGAAUCCAAGCCGAGUCUGGGACCUAUACCACAGCUCACGGCAAUGCUGGAUCCUCAACCCACUGAGUAAGGCCAGAGAUUGAACCCGCAACUUACGGUUCCUAGUCGAAUUUGUCUACCACUGAGCCAUGACAGGAACGCCUGAGCUGAUAUUUUUAAAGGUAGGAUCUGUAUAAAAUAUUACCCCCCUGAAAAUAAUCCUUUUCUUUCUUGCCAGACUUAAGCCACUUGAGGGCAGGAACCACUGUUUCCCCAAUACUCUAACGACAAUGCCUGGCACACUAUAAAU